GGAAUUGCUAGUAAUCGCGAAUCAGAAUGUCGCGGUGAAUACGUUCCCGGGCCUUGUACACACCGCCCGUCACACCAUGAGAGUCGAUAACACCCGAAGCCUGUGAGCUAACCUUUUAGGAGGCAGCAGUCGAAGGUGGGGUUGAUGAUUGGGGUGAAGUCGUAACAAGGUAUC
rnacentral:rRNA from 1 species